rnacentral:rRNA from 1 species
UACGUAGGGUCCGAGCGUUGUCCGGAGUUAUUGGGCGUAAAGGGCUCGUAGGCGGUUUGUUGCGUCGGAAGUGAAAUCUUACAGCUUAACUGUGAACUUGCUUUCGAUACGGGCAGACUUGAGGCAUUCAGGGGAGAACGGAAUUCCUGGUGUAGCGGUGAAAUGCGCAGAUAUCAGGAGGAACACCGGUGGCGAAGGCGGUUCUCUGGGAAUGUACUGACGCUGAGGAGCGAAAGUGUGGGGAGCGAACAGG